AGUGAACGCUGGCGGUAGGCCUAACACAUGCAAGUCGAACGGCAGCACAGUAAGAGCUUGCUCUUACGGGUGGCGAGUGGCGGACGGGUGAGGAAUACAUCGGAAUCUACUUUUUCGUGGGGGAUAACGUAGGGAAACUUACGCUAAUACCGCAUACGACCUACGGGUGAAAGCAGGGGAUCUUCGGACCUUGCGCGAUUGAACGAGCCGAUGUCGGAUUAGCUAGUUGGCGGGCUAAAGGCCCACCAAGGCGACGAUCCGUAGCUGGUCUGAGAGGAUGAUCAGCCACACUGGAACUGAGACACGGUCCAGACUCCUACGGGAGGCAGCAGUCGGGAAUAUUGGACAAUGGGCGCAAGCCUGAUCCAGCCAUACCGCGUGGGUGAAGAAGGCCUUCGGGUUGUAAAGACCUUUUGUUGGGAAAGAAAAGCAGCAGGUUAAUACCCCGCUGUUCUGACGGUACCCAAAGAAUAAGCACCGGCUAACUUCGUG
rnacentral:rRNA from 1 species